AGAGUUUGAUCAUGGCUCAGAUUGAACGCUGGCGGCAGGCUUAACACAUGCAAGUCGAGCGGGGGAAGGUAGCUUGCUACCGGACCUAGCGGCGGACGGGUGAGUAAUGCUUAGGAAUCUGCCUAUUAGUGGGGGACAACAUCUCGAAAGGGAUGCUAAUACCGCAUACGUCCUACGGGAGAAAGCAGGGGAUCUUCGGACCUUGCGCUAAUAGAUGAGCCUAAGUCGGAUUAGCUAGUUGGUGGGGUAAAGGCCUACCAAGGCGACGAUCUGUAGCGGGUCUGAGAGGAUGAUCCGCCACACUGGGACUGAGACACGGCCCAGACUCCUACGGGAGGCAGCAGUGGGGAAUAUUGGACAAUGGGGGGAACCCUGAUCCAGCCAUGCCGCGUGUGUGAAGAAGGCCUUAUGGUUGUAAAGCACUUUAAGCGAGGAGGAGGCUACUUUAGUUAAUACCUAGGGAUAGUGGACGUUACUCGCAGAANAUGGUCUAUAAUGCACAUCCAUCGGCGGUGAUGCAGAUAGAAACUUGUUGAAAAACAGUUACUUGUGAUUAGAUUGGUUGCUUUAAGUGAUGAAUUUGAUGAUGAGGUAGUUUGGAGAAUAAGUUUUAAAAAUAUCGAAAUUACCUGUUGACUUUUAAGAGAUUAAGAGUAAUAUAGCCGACCUAGCUUGCUGGUGACGAACCAGUAAGAAGAUCAUUAAGAGAAUUGAAGAACAACUUGUGUGGAUUUUUACUGAUUGAUUAAUCGAAAUAAUUUUCAUUGAUUGAUUGGUUUAAAUUACUCGAAGUUUAUUUGAGCGAAAUUUAAGUCAGUAAUUGAUGAGCCAGAAUUGGCACCUUGUCUAUAAAUAAGGUGCAAAAUGAUUUUAACUGAAGAGUUUGAUCAUGGCUCAGAUUGAACGCUGGCGGCAGGCUUAACACAUGCAAGUCGAGCGGGGGAAGGUAGCUUGCUACCGGACCUAGCGGCGGACGGGUGAGUAAUGCUUAGGAAUCUGCCUAUUAGUGGGGGACAACAUCUCGAAAGGGAUGCUAAUACCGCAUACGUCCUACGGGAGAAAGCAGGGGAUCUUCGGACCUUGCGCUAAUAGAUGAGCCUAAGUCGGAUUAGCUAGUUGGUGGGGUAAAGGCCUACCAAGGCGACGAUCUGUAGCGGGUCUGAGAGGAUGAUCCGCCACACUGGGACUGAGACACGGCCCAGACUCCUACGGGAGGCAGCAGUGGGGAAUAUUGGACAAUGGGGGGAACCCUGAUCCAGCCAUGCCGCGUGUGUGAAGAAGGCCUUAUGGUUGUAAAGCACUUUAAGCGAGGAGGAGGCUACUUUAGUUAAUACCUAGGGAUAGUGGACGUUACUCGCAGAAUAAGCACCGGCUAACUCUGUGCCAGCAGCCGCGGUAAUACAGAGGGUGCGAGCGUUAAUCGGAUUUACUGGGCGUAAAGCGUGCGUAGGCGGCUUAUUAAGUCGGAUGUGAAAUCCCCGAGCUUAACUUGGGAAUUGCAUUCGAUACUGGUGAGCUAGAGUAUGGGAGAGGAUGGUAGAAUUCCAGGUGUAGCGGUGAAAUGCGUAGAGAUCUGGAGGAAUACCGAUGGCGAAGGCAGCCAUCUGGCCUAAUACUGACGCUGAGGUACGAAAGCAUGGGGAGCAAACAGGAUUAGAUACCCUGGUAGUCCAUGCCGUAAACGAUGUCUACUAGCCGUUGGGGCCUUUGAGGCUUUAGUGGCGCAGCUAACGCGAUAAGUAGACCGCCUGGGGAGUACGGUCGCAAGACUAAAACUCAAAUGAAUUGACGGGGGCCCGCACAAGCGGUGGAGCAUGUGGUUUAAUUCGAUGCAACGCGAAGAACCUUACCUGGCCUUGACAUACUAGAAACUUUCCAGAGAUGGAUUGGUGCCUUCGGGAAUCUAGAUACAGGUGCUGCAUGGCUGUCGUCAGCUCGUGUCGUGAGAUGUUGGGUUAAGUCCCGCAACGAGCGCAACCCUUUUCCUUACUUGCCAGCAUUUCGGAUGGGAACUUUAAGGAUACUGCCAGUGACAAACUGGAGGAAGGCGGGGACGACGUCAAGUCAUCAUGGCCCUUACGGCCAGGGCUACACACGUGCUACAAUGGUCGGUACAAAGGGUUGCUACACAGCGAUGUGAUGCUAAUCUCAAAAAGCCGAUCGUAGUCCGGAUUGGAGUCUGCAACUCGACUCCAUGAAGUCGGAAUCGCUAGUAAUCGCGGAUCAGAAUGCCGCGGUGAAUACGUUCCCGGGCCUUGUACACACCGCCCGUCACACCAUGGGAGUUUGUUGCACCAGAAGUAGCUAGCCUAACUGCAAAGAGGGCGGUUACCACGGUGUGGCCGAUGACUGGGGUGAAGUCGUAACAAGGUAGCCGUAGGGGAACCUGCGGCUGGAUCACCU
rnacentral:rRNA from 1 species